rnacentral:rRNA from 1 species
CCAACCGGGAUUGCCUUAGUAACGGCGAGUGAAGCGGCAAAAGCUCAAAUUUGAAAUCUGGUACCUUCGGUGCCCGAGUUGUAAUUUGGAGAGGGCAACUUUGGGGCCGUUCCUUGUCUAUGUUCCUUGGAACAGGACGUCAUAGAGGGUGAGAAUCCCGUGUGGCGAGGAGUGCGGUUCUUUGUAAAGUGCCUUCGAAGAGUCGAGUUGUUUGGGAAUGCAGCUCUAAGUGGGUGGUAAAUUCCAUCUAAAGCUAAAUAUUGGCGAGAGACCGAUAGCGAACAAGUACAGUGAUGGAAAGAUGAAAAGAACUUUGAAAAGAGAGUGAAAAAGUACGUGAAAUUGUUGAAAGGGAAGGGCAUUUGAUCAGACAUGGUGUUUUGUGCCCUCUGCUCCUUGUGGGUAGGGGAAUCUCGCAUUUCACUGGGCCAGCAUCAGUUUUGGUGGCAGGAUAAAUCCAUAGGAAUGUAGCUUGCCUCGGUAAGUAUUAUAGCCUGUGGGAAUACUGCCAGCUGGGACUGAGGACUGCGACGUAAGUCAAGGAUGCUGGCAUAAU